GUAUAAGCACUGAAUCCUGUGGAGAGCCGUAAUGGCGAGAAGCAGGCGAAUGUGUGAUGUCGAAAGUCGGCUGCACCCGGGAGCCCGUGAAAAGGGAGUUAAAUGUCCGUACCGAGAUCUGACACAGGUGCCCCUAGCUGAAAAGGCUAAGGCGUGUCGGAAUUAAACUGGUUAAGGGAAUUCGGCAAAUUGGCUCCGUAACUUCGGGAGAAGGAGUGCCUGCUGUGAAGACAGCAGGUCGCAGUGACCAGGGAGCUCUAACUGUCUAAUACCAACAUAGGAGAUCGCAAACCCGUAAGGGCUAGUACGAUCUCUGAAUCCUGCCCAGUGCAGGUACCUGAAACUUCGGUUCAACGGAAAGAAGGGCCUGUAAACGGCGGGGGUAACUAUGACCCUCUUAAGGUAGCGUAGUACCUUGUCGCUUAAUUGGCGACUUGCAUGAAUGGAUCAAUGAGAGCUCUACUGUCCCUAACCAGAGUCCGGUGAAGCUUACAUUCUAGUGCAGAGUCUAGAGACCUCUAGGGGGAAGUGAAGACCCCGUGGAGCUUUACUGCAGCCUGUCGUUGAGUUGUGAUUUUGGAUGUACAGUGUAGGUAGGAGACGUCGAAGCCCGCGCGCCAGCGUGGGUGGAGUCGCAAUUGGGACACUACCCUUUCAAGAUUACGACCCUAACUCCGUAAAGGAGGACCCCGAUAGGUGGGCAGUUUGCCUGGGGCGGGACGCCCUUGAAAAGAUAUCAAGGGCGCGCAAUGGUUGACUCAAGUGGGUCGGAAACUCACUGAAGAGUGCAAGAGCAUAAGUCAGCCUGACGUGAUUUAGCAACGUAGUGGAUCACGAGACGAAAGUCGGUUCUAGCGAACCUUUAUGCCUGCUUGGUGCGGGCUAAAGAUGACAGAAAAGUUACCCCGGGGAUAAUUGAGUCGUUGCCGGCAAGAGCACAUAUCGACCCGGCAGCUUGCUACCUCGAUGUCGGUUCUUUCCAUCCUGGCUGUGCAGCAGCAGCCAAGGGUGAGGUUGUUCGCCUAUUAAAGGAGAUCGUGAGCUGGGUUUAGACCGUCGUGAGACAGGUCGGUUACUAUCUACUAGAGGUGUAUGAGGUCUGAGGGUAAGUUGCUUUUAGUACGAGAGGAACAGAGCAACGGUGCCACUGGUCGAUCGGUUGUCUGACAAGGCAGUGCCGAGCAGCUACGCACUAAGGAAUAAGAGCUGAAUGCAUCUAAGCUCGAAAUCUAACCUAAAAAGAGACCUCGCUAAGAAUUCCGGUAAAAGACCGGGUUAAUAGAGUCGGGAUGUACGCACCAAGGCAACGAGGUGUUCAGUCCGCGACUACUAAUAUUC
rnacentral:rRNA from 1 species